UUCCCAUCUGUGAAAAAGACCAUGUGAUCUAUGAACAUGACAAACCCCACUUCCUGUUUGAAGGAGUCACACAGGAACAGGUACUACGUAUAUGUGCUGCCAGACACACAGAGACACUGAACUCUCAGCUUGAGGCAGAACUGAGCACAUUUGUGCAGGGGAAUCCAUGCCUCAUGCCGCUCUCCAGCCUGCUCUGGGUGUUCCUGGCCGUCACCUUCUCCGGAUCCAGUGUGGCCCAGCAAGUAACUCAAGUCCAGACAUCCGUACCCAGUCAAGUGGGGCGGACAGUCACACUGAAUUGUCAAUAUGAAGUAAGUUGGGCCACGGACUACUACGACAUUUUUUGGUAUAAACAGCUUCCCAGGGGAGAGAUGACUUUCCUUAUUCGUCAGUAUUCAAAAGACAGUAAUGCAAGGAAGGGCCGCUACUCUGUAAAUUUCCAGAAAGCAGAUAAAUCCAUCAGCCUCAUCAUUUCAGCCUUACAGCUUGAAGACUCUGCAAAGUACUUCUGUGCUCUCCGGGAGCUCACAGUGCUUGAAGUAAUGGGAAAAGCUGAACAAAAACCCCAGAGCUUAAUAAGAGAGAGCCCCACUGCUUCAGGACCUCAGUUGAAGUGCAUACCUGCACAUCCCGGAAGAGAUGGUAGUCCUGUGGUUGCUUCAUCUGUGGUCUGGAUCAGAGGAUUUAAUUCUAAAUAAAAGCUCCUUCUAGGUGGAUCACCAGGCUACAGCUGGAACCAAGUGGGCCUGCCCCACAGGAACUGGAGCCGGAAGAAGACAGGGAAUCACUGUGGUUUCUCCCUCCCUUUGGUCCCCCAGUUUCCCACCACUGCUUUGGGUCCCCCAUUUGAGCAGGAGGCCAGUAGACACUGGAACUGGGAAAGCACAUCUUAUCUACUGCAACUCCUUUUUGGUGGACCAACUUCACAGGUCUUGCCUCCCCUUUCACUAAGAGUUUCCUCUGAUUGCCCAGGUUGAUACAGACUUUCAGCUCUUGCUAGUAUCUUGAUGCUUCCCAUCUCUUCUUUGUUUUCCUUAACCCUGCCUGCAAAUCUAUAAAUAUUCCCUUCAUUAAACUUUGUAGUUAAAUCUUCAAGUAAAUCAAAGAUCUUUCUAUAUUUGGAAGCAGGUGUCCACAGUAAUUUUCUACUAAUACAUUCUUCUCUUGAACUUUAGACUUUAAAUCAAUCAUACAUAACAUGUGUAAACUUGUUUAAAGCUGUAAACUUGCUCCAUAAUAAUUUAAAGUGACUGCUUCACUAAAAUACACUCACAUCACAAAUCUGGGUAUAGUUACCUGGAAUCGUUAUGAAAAUCAUUUCCUUAGUCCUUUCUUCUUAGACUUUGUGUCACUUAAGGUACAAUCAGGGAAGCAGACCAUCAGUGAUGUCCAAUAAGAGAUUAGUUAUACAUAAAGAUUAGAACUCAGGCAGUUGCUAGAGUUGAUGGAGUAGUCUAUACAAGCAGAAAAGAUAUAAGAACUUUAAUGUUCAUUGCAGCACUAAUUACAGUAGGUGGACAUGGAAGCAACCUAAAUGUCCAAUGAUGGAAUAAUAGAUCAAAAAGAUAUGGCAUAUAUAUACAAUUGAAUAUUAUUCAGCCA